rnacentral:miRNA from 1 species
AUGUGUGUUUAUAUUUUAUAUAUGUAUGUGUGUAUACACAAUUAUAUACAUACACACACACACACACACACACACACACACACACACA